UACAUGCCAGGUACUACAUGAGUGUGUU
rnacentral:piRNA from 1 species